GACAGAGGGUGCAAACGUUGCUCGGAAUUACUGGGCGUAAAGCGCGUGUAGGUGGAUUGGUGUGUCAGAUGUGAAAGCCCUGGGCUCAACCCAGGAACUGCACCUGAAACUACCAGUCUUGAGUGGUGGAGAGAGAAGUGGAAUUCCUGGUGUAGAGGUGAAAUUCGUAGAUAUCAGGAGGAACACCAGUGGCGAAGGCGGCUUCCUGGACACUAACUGACGCUGAGACGCGAAAGCGUGGGGAGCAAACAGG
rnacentral:rRNA from 1 species